UGGGACUGGAUCCCGGGACUCCAGGAUCACACCCUGGGCCAAAGGCAGGCACUAAACCGCUGAGCCACCCAGGGAUCCCCAGAAAGGAAGUUCUUAAUGCAGCACUCCUUCUAAACUCCUUCUUUACCAGAUCCAGGGCCUGGUGGCUAAGGAAGGACAGAAGAGAAGUGAGAAGAAGCCGCCAGCCGCGGACUCCCUAAAUGAGAGUCUCAGACAUCAUCACCGUGUCGAGAUGUCCCCGCUCCCCAGCUUACUCAGAGGGUCACAGAGAGGAAGAGUGACUGUAAGCAAGAGGCCCCAGGGAAGGCUCCCCAGCAUGGGUCAGGGGGUGUGGGCACAGCAGCUCGCCUCUCCACUUUCCUGCCUCAGGUCCCCUGGGAAGCUACAGGAAAAUCUACAUCUUUGAGACAGAGUGUGGUGGCUGGAAGUGGAGGUGGGGUUUCAGGCUGGAGUCGGGUGAGAUUUCCCUUCCAACUCAAAACCUUCACAGGAGCCCUUGGCCAAGCAUUCCAGAUCCACCAUAGUCUGCGUGAACCCUGCCCAUCCAAUUUUAUUUUCUACCACUGGCCUGAUGUCAGCACACAUCCUAUACCUUGGACUAUUCUGACCAACCGAUAACCCGGGGAAAAGUGCCAGUGUCAACCCAAGAGGCCAGCCCAGAGGCAGUCCUUGGCAGGGGAGGAGGAAGGACUUCUAGGCUGUAGGGAGCAAUUCUGAAACUGAGGGGGAAGGCGUCUAGGGCACAUAUCUGAGCAAGGAGUACCCCAAGACUUCCCCCAUAUCCCACAACAUCAUGCUUACCUCCAAACAUGACACCACCGUGGCAGUGACAUCGAUAAUAGAGUGGGCGUGGCCCAGCCCCCAGCUCUGAGCUCCCAAUCUCCUGUGACCAGAGCAGUCAAGGCCAGCUCUAGAACAGCUGUUGCCCUGAGCUGUGACAAGAGCAGCAUGUGGCAGCAGAGGACAAGAUGGGAGGAUCCAAAUUGUUGGUUUUCUUUCUACAAUGAGGUUAUAACCAAGAUUACUAUCAUAGAAUGAAUAAGCCCUGAGGCUUUUAUCACCGGAAUGGGGGAUCCUGGGAGCAAAAACAGACAUAAUCUCAAUAGUAGAAGAUAAAAGAAAUGUGAGCUUAUCUUCUACUCAAAUUGUAAUGCACCAGUGACCCUGGCAUUGAAGUUAUAGCCACCCACCCACUAAAGCUCUGGCUCUAACUUUGCUUAAACCAGCUUGCACUGAAGUGAAGAUGGUCACAGGUGUUUACCUUGAAAAUCACCCACUGGAUGACCUACUAUGCAUCAGGCUUACAAAAUUAUCUUUAUUUCCUGAACGGAACAGGAUAUGUGAAGACACCAAAACUAAUGAUUGCCCUGCCAACCCCAUGGAAGAGUGGGUCUUCAUGCUGCCAUGUGGAAGAGUUUAAUCUACUGUUGCUGACUUUGAAGAUGGAGGAAGGGGCCACAGUCCAAGGAAUGUGGGCAACUUCAAGAAGCUGGAAAGGGCAAGAAAACAGUCUCACACCCAAAGCCUCCAAAAAGAAAUGCAGCCCAGCCAGCGUCUUAGCCUACUAGGACUGAUGAUGUUGCACUUCUACCCCUCAGAAUGAGCUGAUUUCUAGUCAUGGAAAUUGACAAAUGAAGAAACAAUAAAUAUAUGGCAACUGGUGAAUAAACGUUAUGAAGAGAAAAUAAAGCAGAGUAAAAAAAUGAGACACAAAAGAGUACCAUGAUCUGAAUACGUUUUAAAAAGAUACCUGCCUGCUGUGUAGACAGCAUAUCAUAAAGAAAAAAGGAGACUCCCAUAGAAAUGCUAAGCCACAACCAAGAUUGAAAUCUCUUUGAAACUUUGGGCUUAGAUGAGGGUCAGAGGAUUCCGACGCAACUUCUGUCCAGGCACUCAACCGAGGAAGCAGCCAGCUUAGAGAUGAGAUCUGGGAUUUCCCCACUAUGACCUCAGAGGCUGAAAUUCACAAAGACGGCAGAAUGGUGGCUUCCAGGGGCUGUGAGGUGGAGAGAAUGGGAAUCCCUGCUUAAUGGGGAUGGGAUUUCAGUUUGGGAAGAUGAAGAAAGUUCUGGGAAGGGAUGGUGAUGGUUGCAAAACAAUGGAAAUGUACUUAUUGCUCCUGAACGGUACACUUCAAAAUGGACAGAGACCAAAUCUGACUCCCUUGAAUGGGACAACUGGCAGGAUAUCGGGUAGCUCUCUUGGACUAAUGGAAAAACUGGAAAGACAAACCAGAGAGACAAAGUAGCAGGGAAUGCAACCGGAAAGCCACAUCAUGUUUGUUGGGGUCAUCUUAGAAAUUGCCAGUAGGCUAGCAAAGAUGAUCCAAUGAAGAGUCAGUCCUGUCCACAGUGACAAAGACCUUGAACUACCCGCUAAGUCUCAGGUGGCAGCCACUUCUCCAGUGUCAUCCCCCAUGGCCCUGUGAUCUCACUUUCACAAAUCUUGUUCCAGUGUAGUCCUCACUGAUUCCCAGAAACACCAUGUCCCUCAUGCCUCUUGCUUUCACCAUGCCCUAAAAUACCCUUCCUUCCCCUUUAUCAGCCUGAUGAACUCCUACACACCCUUCAAGACCCUGUUAAAUAUCACCUGUGUGAAGCCUUUUCCUAUUCUCCAGGUACACAGUGUUCCCACAGCACCCAAGUGAUAUCUCUAGUAUAGUCUUGAUUGUGUUAUUUUUAAAUCAUCUGUUUUCCUGUCUGUCUUCUCCAGUGACUGUUACCUUGCAGAGGACAAGGACUGUGUCUAAUUUAUCUUAAUUAGUUAAUUAGCUAGGUUACUCUAAUUAACCUAAAGGGCAGGGGUCUGGUUAUUUGCUUCCAUGCAAAGUACAAUGCCUCACAUAUUUGCAUGUUUAAUAAAUGCUGAAUAAAUAACUUAAGUAAUUAA